GAUGAACGCUGGCGGCGUGCCUAAUACAUGCAAGUCGAGCGAACAGACGAGGAGCUUGCUCCUCUGACGUUAGCGGCGGACGGGUGAGUAACACGUGGAUAACCUACCUAUAAGACUGGGAUAACUUCGGGAAACCGGAGCUAAUACCGGAUAAUAUAUUGAACCGCAUGGUUCAAUAGUGAAAGACGGUUUUGCUGUCACUUAUAGAUGGAUCCGCGCCGCAUUAGCUAGUUGGUAAGGUAACGGCUUACCAAGGCAACGAUGCGUAGCCGACCUGAGAGGGUGAUCGGCCACACUGGAACUGAGACACGGUCCAGACUCCGACGGGAGGCAGCAGUAGGGAAUCUUCCGCAAUGGGAGAAAGCCUGACGGAGCAACGCCGCGUGAGUGAUGAAGGUCUUCGGAUCGUAAAACUCUGUUAUUAGGGAAGAACAAAUGUGUAAGUAACUAUGCACGUCUUGACGGUACCUAAUCAGAAAGCCACGGCUAACUACGUG
rnacentral:rRNA from 1 species